rnacentral:rRNA from 1 species
AUGCUUAAGGGGAAAACAAUUGAUGCGUUUUUCAAAAGAAAGAGAGGUGAUUCAACUGAAUGUGAAGUUGAUGAACCAAUAGCAACAGAAGCAAUUCCUGUUCCGCCUCCUCUGUUGUUGCUCGAAUUUGAGCAACAUGGACCACAUCCUUCGAUGCCUCAACAACAAGGCCAUCAAACUCAAACAAAUGAAGUACAAUUUUGA